UCGCUGCUGGUGUAACGGCAACACACCGGUCUUUGACACCGGCAUUGAAGGUUCAAAUCCUUCGCGGCGAGCCA
rnacentral:tRNA from 1 species